rnacentral:rRNA from 1 species
UACGGAGGGGGCUAGCGUUGUUCGGAAUUACUGGGCGUAAAGCGCGCGUAGGCGGACCUGCAAGUCGGGGGUGAAAGCCCGAGGCUCAACCUCGGAACUGCCUUCGAUACUGCGGGUCUCGAGUCCGGGAGAGGUGAGUGGAAUUCCUAGUGUAGAGGUGAAAUUCGUAGAUAUUCGGAAGAACACCAGUGGCGAAGGCGGCUCACUGGCCCGGUACUGACGCUGAGGUGCGAAAGCGUGGGGAGCAA